CGAUUAAAUGUACGUUACAAAACAUGUUACGAGUACCAGUACCGUUUUUUCUUCGUACGAAAAGGCGAGCAUUGGCAGCUUUUAUUGCGUUUAAUGUGGUGGGAACGUAUGUCUAUGUGUGGCUUCCAGAAAAAUGGAAAUACGAAGAGAAGAUGCGACAAAAGGCAUUAGCGGCAGGAGCAACUCAAUCUGACAGUGGGACAGAGAAGUCUUGAUUCCUAACUGAAGAUUUUGAAUGGUGAUAGACUUACUCACUGAUAAUUCUCAGUCUGUGAUGUGAAUUCUGUGUCAAUAUGUUACACUUUUUCAUUCAUUGGAAGUGAUGUGUCAACUCUUUCCUUUUGAUAAUGGACUUGACCUUGACAAAUAUAGUUUUUGCUACAUAUACUUAUCGAGUUCAUUAAUCAUCAUGAUAUGUAAUAUGUAAUAUAUUAUAUAUGCUGCCCGUUUGAAUAAAUGAUCUUUGAGAU
rnacentral:sRNA from 1 species